CGCCGCGAGACAUGGCCUGCGCCUGCGCAAAAAACAGCGCCGCUGGCGAGGCGGGUCACGGCGGUGGCGGGGGGGGCGGAGCCACCGCGAAUGGUCACAGGGGCGUCUCCCCAGUAGCCGGCAGCUUCGGGGCGCCGGAGCGUGCCUGAUGCGUGUGGCAAGGGGCUGGGUCCCCGGCUGGCCGGAGCACCAAGUGCCCCACCCCGCCGCUGCUAGGCCCCCGACAGGUCCACCGCGCCCCGCCCGGAACGCAGGGGAUACCGCAAUGGGUGCCCCGAGAUCUGCCUCCUUGGGCUCCCGUGACCUGCGGUUUCUCCGGGCUCCGCUUCUGUGGGUGCGGGGCCCCCGCGCCGCCGUCCGGGGACUCGGCUUUGUCUCGCCGCCCAGUCGCGUUGGUGGUGGAAAGCGGGAGGUUUCCCUCCGCUCCCUCUGGGCGCGUGUUACUCAGAGCCCCGGAAUCAAGCGCCUGUCCCGGCCUGGACAGGUGCAUGGGGGCUCUGAAGCCUGGCCGGGCUUCUGCAAGUGUGAGAUGUUUGAUCUGCUGCCCUCGAAGCCGGCCGUGCGCCGGCGUCAGGGAGAGUCAGGAUAGAGGGCGGCGCUGAGCGGUGUAGCCAGGCCGUCUCCUUGAGGACUUGGCUGUCUUGGACGCGUGUGGGUGCCGCGUCGCUUUUGCUUCGCUCCGCACCGAGUGAGAUUCCUUCUUGUCUGCACAGCCUCUCAGAGGGUUAACUGGAACUUGCAUCGCAUGCCAGUUGAAUGCCUAUUCAAAAACAUUUUUUAAAAGAGAGGAAAAUGGAGGCCCAAGGAGCUGAAGCGAACUUAGCCACGAUCCCACAGAGAGCAAGCCCAGAGCCAGGACGGCCCCUCCAGAGCCAGCUUUGCCCAGGCAGGCCACUUCCCCAGGCCCCAGCAAAGCCAAGCUCAACUUCCUGACAAGAAGAAACCUGUACACAUACUUGCUAAACAAACGAAUGAGUGAACAAAUCAAAGAAUGGCCAUUUGACUGUCUGCUGCCCAGGGCCCCCCGGCUGCUGGCUGCUGGCUACAUCUGGUGUGGUCAGUUCUCUGGAAGCUUCACAGUAAGAACCGUGCAAGCCCAGCCCUUUUCAUCUGCAAGCAAACCCCUCCCUCCCCUGCCCUAUGGCUGAGCUGACUUGCAGCCUUGCCUCUCUGUGGUGGACCAGGCUGUGGGAACUCCUACACAAAGCCAGGCUGGAGAUAUCUACACUAAUGCAAGUGAGCGUCCCUGGCUCUCCCUGGCCCAAUCCCAGGCCCCGUGCCCUGAACAUGAGAAACCAAUGCUCCUAUUACGUACUUUGAUUUCAUUUCUCUGAUGACUGGAGAAGCAGUUUAAGGGCAGUUGCCGAGUGCGACGCUGCUGGUGUCGGCAAAGCCUGGGAGGUAGGGGAAGGGGUGCGUCUGUCUUAAGACUCCCGCUUCCCAUGUUGCACUGCCUGGGUCGGACACCUGGCUCUGGCUCCUGGCUCCAGCUUCUUGCCAAUGCAGGUCCUGGGAGGCAGCAGGGAAACCUAUGUAGUUGCAUUCCUGCCCACCUCAGGGAAGCUGGUUCCAGGCCCUUCCCCUGGCAUUGCAGGCAUUUGGGGAGUGCAGCAGUAACUCCCCCAGUCAGGAGUAACCCCUGUCUUACUUUGUGUCUCUGAA